rnacentral:rRNA from 1 species
CCUACGGGCGGCAGCAGUGGGGAAUAUUGCACAAUGGGCGCAAGCCUGAUGCAGCCAUGCCGCGUGUGUGAAGAAGGCCUUCGGGUUGUAAAGCACUUUCAGCGGGGAGGAAGGCGUUAAGGUUAAUAACCUUGUCGAUUGACGUUACCCGCAGAAGAAGCACCGGCUAACUCCGUGCCAGCAGCCGCGGUAAUACGGAGGGUGCAAGCGUUAAUCGGAAUUACUGGGCGUAAAGCGCACGCAGGCGGUCUGUCAAGUCGGAUGUGAAAUCCCCGGGCUCAACCUGGGAACUGCAUUCGAAACUGGCAGGCUAGAGUCUUGUAGAGGGGGGGAGAAUUCCAGGUGUAGCGGCGAAAUGCGUAGAGAUCUGGAGGAAUACCGGUGGCGAAGGCGGCCCCCUGGACAAAGACUGACGCUCAGGUGCGAAAGCGUGGGGAGCAAACAGGAUUAGAUACCCCUGUAGUC